CGGCACCCGUGCUCCGUUAGACGGCCGGCCGGGACGCUCACUGCUCUUGCCGAGUCACUACUAAAUAACCACGUGUUUUUAUUUAUUUGAGGUAGUGUUUCACUAUGGAGACCAACUUGGCCUUGAACUAGCAACCUUCCUGCCUCUGCCUCCUGAGUGCUGGGACUUCUGGUGUGCGCCACCGUGCUGUUUUCCCCCGUGCCUUUGAAUAACCUACUCUUGAAAGUGGUAUGCUGUCGCUUUUGCCACGUUUUACUGGUCGCCCAGACCACCGCGGUAAAAGUGAGGCAGAAACUGCACAGGAGCUAGGGGGAGGAAGAUUGGGCCGAGUGGUUAGUGCAGAGGAGAGAAGAAUCAUGCCCAAGGGCCUGUCGUGUGAGAUACAGCCACUGCCCAAUGGAUGUGGAGCAUUCUCCCGUACUCCUGGUUCUGGUUCUGGUGAGAAGACCUACUUAAGUGACUUUCUUCAGCUCAUUGAAAGCAACAGAACAAAAGCCCUGCCCAUGCCAGAGAAGUUGGACCACAUUGAAGAAGGCUUUGUACACCUUAUCUUUGAAAGUCUUUUUCUAAGCAUGCCAUGGUAUGUUUUGACUGCAGUGCCAAAAAUCACAACUGGGCAAGCAUAACCUAUGGGAUGUUUCUUUUCAUCAAUUGCUCAGGGUCGCUUUGUGUUCACUAGAGUUUUACCUGGUGUGUUGAUGGUCGCAUGGAGAUGAGACACAGUUCCUUUGGUAGCGGGGAUGACAGUGCUGGUUCCUACUGGAAUAAGGAAAGCAGUCGAGACACCUAGACCACUGUUAAAAGCACAGGCUCUUCAGACAGCUGUGAGCUGCAGGACCAGGAAGCCAGAGCUACAGGCUGGAGUGCCUUCUGUACCCUCUUUUCCAGCACUCACUUCACACCCAGAGUGGCUGACAGGUGGUCAUCAAUGUGCAGAAGGCAGGUGGAGCCAGGACAUAAUUGGGCCAGCCUUGCAAGUCUGUUGCUAUCUGGGCUACAGUCAGGCAGGGCUUGGUGGAAGCCAUCAGCUGCUUUGAGGUUCUGUUCCAGCUCUCGGUAAAUGGUUUUGUAGCUAAAUCACAGAUAGAAAGACAGCUCUAUAAAAGGCAGGGCCCGGGCACCAUUCCUCACAGCCACAGCAGGCCCUGUAGCCUGCAUGAUGGUCUCUGCAGCCUGCACAGUUUCCCAGACACAGGACAGGGACGCCAUUCCCUGGUGCCACAUGUACAGAUGCAGACACCAUCCUCUAGAACCCGGGACCCACCCAAAUAAGCUUCGUAUCAAACCAGGCGGCACACUGAGACUUGCCCUGCAUCAAAUCCUGGGUGUGCUCUGUGGGUGCAACUGUGCAGUCCCACUGGGUCAGGUCAUGUUGAGGAAGAAGCCUUGAGAGGAGAAUGUCAGAGUGCCUCCUGCUCCAUUCCUCUCA